GACGAACGCUGGCGGCGUGCUUAACACAUGCAAGUCGAACGAUGAAACCUAGCUUGCUAGGUCGAUUAGUGGCGAACGGGUGAGUAACACGUGACUAACCUGCCCCUUUCUCUGGGAUAACGCUUCGAAAGGAGUGCUAAUACCGGAUACUCACAUCGAGGCACAUGCCUUGAUGUGGAAAGUUUUUCGGAAAGGGAUGGAGUCGCGGCCUAUCAGCUUGUUGGUGAGGUAACGGCUCACCAAGGCGACGACGGGUAGCCGGCCUGAGAGGGCAACCGGCCACACUGGGACUGAGACACGGCCCAGACUCCUACGGGAGGCAGCAGUGGGGAAUAUUGCACAAUGGGCGCAAGCCUGAUGCAGCGACGCCGCGUGAGGGAUGAAGGUCUUCGGAUUGUAAACCUCUUUCAGUAGGGACGAAGCGAAAGUGACGGUACCUAAAGAAGAAGCACCGGCUAACUACGUGCCAGCCGCCGCGGUAA
rnacentral:rRNA from 1 species